UACGUAGGGGGCAAGCGUUGUUCGGAAUUACUGGGCGUAAAGCGCGUGUAGGCGGUCUGGCAAGUCAGAUGUGAAAGCCCCGGGCUCAACUUGGGAACUGCAUUUGAUACUGCCAAGCUAGAGUACAGAAGAGGUGACUGGAAUUCCCAGUGUAGCGGUGAAAUGCGUAGAUAUCGGAAGGAACGCCGGUGGCGAAAGCGACGUGCUGGAUCUCUUCUGACGCUGAGGCGCGAAAGCCAGGGGAGCGAACGGG
rnacentral:rRNA from 1 species